rnacentral:pre_miRNA from 1 species
AAAGUACUCCCUCCGUCCCAAAAUUCUUGUCUUAGAAUUGUCUAGAUACGGAUGUAUCAAGUCACAUUUUAGUAUUAGAUAUAUCCGUAUCUACACAAAUCUAAGACAAGAAAUUUGGGAUAGAGGGAGUAGUUG